rnacentral:rRNA from 1 species
GGGCGUCUUACACAUGCAGGUCGACGAGAAAAGAAGCUUCGGCUUCUGAGUAAAGUGGCGAACGGGUGCGUAACACGUAAGUAAUCUACCCUAAACUCUGGAAUAACUUCCCGAAAGGGGAGCUAAGACUGGAUAGGGUCCUCGAGGUGUAAGCCGCGGGGGGAAAGCAGGCCUCUGUCACAAGCUUGCGGUUUAGGAUGAGCUUGCGUCCCAUUAGUUUGUUGGUGAGGUAACGGCUCACCAAGACGACGAUGGGUAGCUGGUCUGAGAGGAUGAUCAGUCACACUGGCACUGAGACACGGGCCAGACUCCUACGGGAGGCAGCAGUGGGGAAUUUUGCGCAAUGGGCGAAAGCCUAACGCAGUAACGCCGCGUGGAGGAUGAAGGCCUUCGGGUUGUAAACUCCUGUCAGGGGGAAAGAAGAGCUCGAGGACAGAAUACGUCCCCGGGUUCUGACGGUACCCCCAAAGGAAGCCCCGGCUAAUUCCGUGCCAGCAGCCGCGGUAAUACGGAAGGGGCUAGCGUUGUUCGGAAUCAUUGGGCGUAAAGGGCGCGUAGGUGGUCUUAUGUGUCCGUCGUGAAAGGGCACGGCUCAACCGUGUUUGGUCGGCGGAAACUGUAAGACUUGAGGCUGGGAGGGGCUGGAGGAAUCCCCUGUGUAGCGGUGAAAUGCGUAGAGAUAGGGGAGAACACUCGUGGCGAAGGCGUCCAGCUGGACCAGUCCUGACACUGAGGCGCGAAAGCGUGGGUAGCAAACAGGAUUAGAUACCCUGGUAGUCCACGCCGUAAACGAUGGGCACUAGGUGCCGGCGGUAUUGAUCCCGUCGGUGCCGGCGCUAACGCAGUAAGUGCCCCGCCUGGGGAGUACGGUCGCAAGGCUGAAACUCAAAGGAAUUGACGGGGGGCCCGCACAAGCGGUGGAGCAUGUGGUUUAAUUCGACGCAACGCGAAGAACCUUACCUGGAUUUGACAUGUACAGGACCGGCAAUGAAAGUUUG